rnacentral:rRNA from 1 species
UAAGGAAUAUUGGUCAAUGGGCGGAAGCCUGAACCAGCCAUGCCGCGUGCAGGAAGACGGCCCUACGGGUUGUAAACUGCUUUUAUACGGGAAUAAACCUUGGUACGUGUACCAAGCUGAAUGUACUGUAAGAAUAAGGAUCGGCUAACUCCGUGCCAGCAGCCGCGGUAAUACGGAGGAUCCAAGCGUUAUCCGGAUUUAUUGGGUUUAAAGGGUGCGUAGGUGGCCUGUUAAGUCAGGGGUGAAAGACGGUAGCUCAACUAUCGCAGUGCCCUUGAUACUGAUGGGCUUGAAUGAACUAGAGGUAGGCGGAAUGUGACAAGUAGCGGUGAAAUGCAUAGAUAUGUCACAGAACACCAAUUGCGAAGGCAGCUUACUAUGGUUUUAUUGACACUGAGGCACGAAAGCGUGGGGAUCAAACAGGAUUAGAUACCCCGGUAGUCC